CUCUCUCUCUCUCUCUCUCUCUCUCUCUCUCUCUCUCUCUCUCUCUCUCUCUCUCUCUCUCUCUCUCUCUCUCUCUCUCUCUCUCUCUCUCUCUCUCUCUCUCUCUCUCUCUGCUGACCUCAUGUAUGAUGUGCUACUCUCACUGUUCCAGUAGGUGGGAGGGAGAGGGGUGGGACCACCACUCUGGUUAAUAGUGGGUGUAGCCCACCACUCUGAGGUCAUCUAAUUCCUCAUAGUCCACCCCCCUACACACACACACACACACACACACACACACACACACACACACACACACACACACACACACACACACACACACACACACACACACACACACACACACACACACACACACACACACAAACAGACUCACUCUUCUGAACCAGAACACACUGUACAGUGCCCUGGCCCCUGUUAGCCCGAGGCAGAGCGCUGGUAAACAUCCACUACCUGCUAGCCUGCUAGCCCUAAGCCUGAUCCUAGUACAUGACCGGGAGCUAAUGGUUUGUGCUGGCUCCUCGUGACAAUGUGAAAGGAGAGGCGUCGCCAGCAGGAAGAGGAGGAAAAGGUGAAGAGAGAGACGGAAGAAGAGAAGUGGAAGUUGGCCCAGAAACAGAAAAAGUCCUUAAGAGAUCAGUGGUUCAGUGAUCCAGGUGAUGCCCUCGAGGUACAGUCAGACUUGCCCCAGCUGCACAGUCAAUCAACGACUGAGGAAGGAGAACAGGAAGUCUGCAUCAGAGGACCGAAGGACUCAGCUUCUGUGGUGAGUUCAGGGAAAGAAGUCUACAUCCAAGGGACUGGAGGAAGUGACAUCACCGAAGACAUGUCACAACAGAUCUUCCACGAGGGUGGCCAAGAUGGCCGAUCAGUCCUGGGGAUGGUGGCGGUGCAGGUGGAGGUGGACCCCCGGACGGGCGCCACCGUGGUCCGCUCCGUGGCGCCCAUGUCGGCGCCGGUGGGCGCCAUGGCGACCACGGUGUUCGACGACGGCCGCAAGAGCGUGCACGCCAUCGGCGGGGGCGGCGCCCAGCCCUCGGCGGAGGAGCUGGGCCGCAUCCUGAGCGCCAUCGACGGCGUGGGGAUGACGGUGCUGCUGGACGACGUCGCCGUGACGACGAGCGAGAGCGCGGCGUCGGACGCCAGCGCCGGAGAACGUUCCCGGGGGUCCCCGGCGGCCGCGGGGUCCGUGGACGCAUCCGUGGACGAGGUGAGGGGCGGAUCGGGGGGCGGGGCCCAGGUCAGGGAGGCGGGAGCGGAGGAGGGAGGGGGCGUGGCCGUCACCCGCGGCCAGGUGGAGUCUGCCAUGACGGUGAGGGAGGCGGCCGGUCAGCCAAUCGUCACGGAGGAGGCGCCGGGGGCGGGGCCGGACUACGAGACCCCGGUGGUCCUGACCUUUCUGGGCUACGCCGACUCCGACCAGCGGGAGGGGCCGGAGGGCGUGGCCCUGGGCCGAGACGACCGGGGGGGCGUGCUCACCGUGGAGCGAGUGGUCAUCGACGCCGGGGACGAAGACGGCGACGAAGAGGAGAAGGAGGAGGUUCUGGAGCCCUCCGUGAACGGGGGUCCCGCGGGGCCGGGCGGGGCCCCUGAGCAGGACGGAGCGUUCCAGGAGGUCCGGCUGGACGGGAGCGUGAAGCGGGCCCCGGCCAAGGGGGCGGAGCCUGACAAGGUGCCCUCGGAGCCGGCCACACCCAAGGAGGGGAGCAAGGAGACAGAGGAGUCCUCCAAACCCAAGGCCUGUCAAUGCUGCUCUGUCAUGUAGCAGGGAGGGGGAGGAGAGAAGGAGAGGGAGAAAUAAAGAAAGGAAACGAGAAAGUACCGCAAACCACUUCUGCCUCCUGUUGGACAAAACUGAGAACUACAACGAGGGAGAGGGAGAGGGAGAGGGGGAGAGAGGGAGAAAGGGAGAGAGGGAGAGAGAAUUUGCCACGGAUCAUAGCAUGUUAUAUGCUGUUUUAUUUAACCUGAUUAAUCUAAGAAAUAACAAACAAACAUUGCCAUGGCUGCCUCUUACAUUAUAUUUGACAAUACAUGACAAUUUCAUGACAUUCAUUUCAUUCAAAUAAGCAUAACAUUAACAUUGUGUUCAGGUUAGUAUUACACAACAUGAUUAUAAUUGAUCAUUUAGUUCAUUCUGCAGAUGCAGAUUGAACAUAUUGUAUUGUGUACGAAAUAGGUACAACGCCUUGCAGUGACCACAGACGACAUCAUACUAAGAUAAGAGAAAAGUUCGCUGGAUAACAAUUGUGUUUUUGUUUGUUCAUCCAACCGGAAAGCGGUGGAUUACUACAACCACUACUCUAUCCGCGUGGCCGAGAACAGAGCACUUGUUUUGAGGGACAGUGACUGAAUUACCGCUGAAGCGUAUUUAAUGUAAACCAUGCUCGCCCCCUGCUGGAAGACAAGGAGAACUACAAUGACCGGGGCUCGCAUACAGGCUUGAGCCAAGAGAUCACACACACGCAUCACUCACAUGGAUUAAGACCCCAAAGGAAGAAUUGUAAUCGUUACGGUACAAAUCGCCUGUGUAUCCUACGUUAUUUCCAAAGGAUACAAAGCAUUUAAUUGAAUAAAAUAUCUUCAUAACAUAUAGACUUUUAACAUUACAAUAUUGAAAUGUUACUCAUUACUUUACUCAUGUUUCUUUGGGGUUAUUUUUUAACCAGUUUUUGACCACUUGACUGUAGCUGCUGGAGAAUUGUGAUCAACUGGACAACUGGAAUGUAUCAUUAAAUAAUGUUGUUUGAAAGGG
ensembl:lncRNA